CCUACGGGUGGCAGCAGUGGGGAAUAUUGGACAAUGGGCGAAAGCCUGAUCCAGCCAUGCCGCGUGUGUGAAGAAGGCCUUCGGGUUGUAAAGCACUUUCAGUGGGGAAGAAAGCCUUGGGGCUAAUACCCUCGAGGAAGGACAUCACCCACAGAAGAAGCACCGGCUAACUCCGUGCCAGCAGCCGCGGUAAUACGGAGGGUGCGAGUGUUAAUCGGAAUUACUGGGCGUAAAGCGCGCGUAGGCGGUCUGAUAAGCCGGUUGUGAAAGCCCCGGGCUCAACCUGGGAACGGCAUCCGGAACUGUCAGGCUAGAGUGCAGGAGAGGAAGGUAGAAUUCCCGGUGUAGCGGUGAAAUGCGUAGAGAUCGGGAGGAAUACCAGUGGCGAAGGCGGCCUUCUGGACUGACACUGACGCUGAGGUGCGAAAGCGUGGGUAGCAAACAGGAUUAGAUACCCCGGUAGUC
rnacentral:rRNA from 1 species